rnacentral:lncRNA from 1 species
AGAAUAGACGCCUUGAUGGCUCCUCUGGCAGUUCUUGAUGACCAUGGAUGAGCUAAUGGCUGUGGUCUCAAUGGUGGCUUCUUGAGAGAAAUAAAAACUUGAUUGUGAAGAUAAAUGGGUCUCAGCAGUUGCUAAGAAAAUGACUGGUUACUUUCUGUCCCUUUUGAGGAGCAUGCAGAGAAAUUGCUUUAGCCUCUGAUAAAUAAAACAGACUGCGAGGAAAAUUACAGCGAGGAAAUUACAGACAUCAUCUCCUUUGAACAGGGAAAAGGUAACAGGAACUACUUACAGAUUGGAUCAUGUGCUGUUUUGGGAUCUGAAGGUGGACUGAACUUUCCAGGUCCAGCUGCAUUUUCAGCACAUACUCUGAAGACAUAGGUCCAGCAAGAUUUUCAGCCAACACACGGAAUCUGUAUUUUUUCUUAUUAGUGAGACCUUUCACUCUGAAUUAGGAACAAAGUGCAUGUGUAUCAUCAUGGUAAGAAGCAGAAGAAGCCUAUGUUUAUUUUACACAGAAGAGACUAAUUUAUUUAAAUUGUGAAAAGGUGAUUUGGAAAUUUAACUGAAAAGCACUUCAAUAUAAAUUAAAAAUUGCUUUUUAACUGCCACACACUUUAGACUGGGCCAAACAUACCAAUCUAAUUAUAAUAUCUAUGACAGUGGUCAUUAUCAUAAUAUACUGGGGGAUCAAACACUUUGAAACUUCCUGAAGGUUAAUAUUUUAGAGUAAACUAAGAAAUGUGCCCUUGAAUGGAAUUUAUAUAAUUUUUCAAAUUAUGAGGUAAUAGAAAAUAUGAGUAAAAGUAGUUUAAAAUUUUUUUAGUAAUAUAUAAUCAUCUGUAAUCCCAAGGAAUACUAAAGAGUAAACAUUUGAAUAUACUGCUGUCUUAACAUCUUGAUGGGGAUUCUGAGCAUACCUGUAUGUUGUGUCCUUUACUGGCAUCUUAUUGCAUCUAACCCAUUUAUCUGUAUCAGGAUCCAGUCUUUCAACCCAGUAUCCUGUGAUUGGGCUGCCACCAUCAUCAUCUGGCUCACACCAUGUGAGAGUCACUGCGUCUUUAGUGAUAUCAGAAGGUUCUAGGCGAGUUGGAGGACCAGGUGGAUCUAUAGACAGGAUAAUGGUGUAAAAUGUUAUAUGUCCUGUAUAUAAAUAUGACACCAAAAUGCAAGUUUGACAUAAGCAUCCUUUUUUUUUUAUCAGCUGAUUGAGAAACUUACCAAACUGAUAUUUGGCUGUUAUUGGAGAGGCCUGAACUGGUUCACCAACACCAUACAUGUUUUCUGCAGCAACUCUGAAGAUGUACUCUUUAUUGGGGAUUAAUUUGGUGGCCUUGAAGUUUGUAUCCUUGACGGUGGAUGAGAGCUUGUGCCACACUUCACUAUCAGUUGCUCGUCUCUCCACAACAUAGUUUGUGAUCUUAGAUCCACCAUCAUCGCGUGGUGGGUUCCAUGUUAGAAGACAUGACUCAUUGGUUACAUCUGUGAUGUCAAAGGCAGCUGGUGGUCCGGGUUUAUCUGUGUAUGGCAUUACAGAUGCAGAAAAAAAAAUUGUUCACCAUUUUUUUUAUUUUUUUCUUUCAAGAAAGUAACUGCAAAGAGUUUAUCCCCUUUUAAAAUGAGAACCUUCCUUACCUAAGACGUUCACUUCCACCACAGCAGUGGCCCGGCCACACACAUUCACAGCCUCAAUGAUAUAUGUGCCAGUGUCACUUCUCUUACUAUCAACAAUAGUCACUGUGGAUUUCUUAGGGACAUUUUCAAUGGUUCUCCACAGGCAACCCAUUUAUCAGAACCACGUGGACAUCUUUCAACUAUCCUGGACAACAACCAUGUUAUUUCUUAGCCAUUGGACUUCCACCUUAUCUUUAUUGAGUUCUGCUAAAAAGACAACAUCAGCACCAGGGGCUUCAAGAAUAUCUUGUGGAGGCCUGAUGAUCUCAACAGGAAUUUCUGGAAAGAAAAUGUGAAAUAAAUACAAAUAUGUUUACAUUUUGAUUAACAAUUUUAAAAAAUUGGUAACAUUAGAAUUGUUUUUUCACUUAAUAUGUACCUUCCACAAAAAGUCUAGCACGAGACUUCCUGUCUUCUACCCCGCAAGCAUAUUCACACUCAUCAUCCAGCCUGCAAUCUUUUAUAAUGAGUCUGUGUAUACUUCCAUCUUUUUCAAAUUUGUAUCUAAAGGAGACAUUGGAUUAUCAGUUAGCUUGCAAUGAUGGCCACUAAAUUGUCAAAAGUGUAUAUAUAGCUACAGAAAUAGAGAAUAAAAAGAUCUUGCUUACUUUUUGCCUUCUUUGAUUUCUCUCCCAUUUCUGUACCAUUUUACAUUGGCUUUCUCUCUG